AGAUCGGGCAAACUAAUGCUUCAUGCUAUAAAUUUAAUAAAAAAAAAUCUACCAUCAAACAUAAUUUUCUUCAGCAAAUAAAAAAAACCAAAAAAUAAAUAAAUAACUCAUCCUUUGCAAGAUAUGGAUGUGUAGAACUAGAAAGAUAGUUUAUGAUCUUAGCUCAAGAGACAACAAGUGAAAGAUUUGUAGAAACAUAGAAAAUUUUACAUGGAAGUGGAGAGAGAAAGUGAGACAUAGCAACUUAAAACAUUCCAAACCAUAAACAAAGCAUGAGGAAGAGCUACUGCACCAUUUGGACCAAAAAAACAGCGAGGUAAUGAACCAUUACCAUUGCUUAAUGGCAAAUAACGACCAUUACCAUUACAU
rnacentral:misc_RNA from 1 species